rnacentral:rRNA from 1 species
UCGCCGAAAGACUAAGGUUUCCUGAUCAACGCUAAUCGGAUCAGGGUGAGUCGGCUCCUAAGGUCAGGCCGAAAGGCGUAGCCGAUGGGAAUCAGGUUAAUAUUCCUGAACCUGCGUCAGAUGCGAUGGGGGGACGGAGCAUGAAAGAUCAUCCGGGUGUUGGAAGUCCCGGUUGUUUAGCGUAGGAGGUCUGCAGGCAAAUCCGCAGACGAUUCUCCAAGGCAAAGACACGUGCCGCCACGGUGGCGAAGUGAUCGGAAGUGCUUCCAAGAAAAGCCUCUAAGCCCCAGUCUGACGCGGACCGUACCGCAAACCGACACUGGUGGGCGAGCUGAAUAUGCUCAGGCGCUUGAGAGAACUCAGGAGAAGGAACUCGGCAAAUUGACACCGUAACUUCGGGAUAAGGUGUGCCUUUGUAGCGUGAAGGGAGAAACACCCCUAGCGUGAAGAGGUCUCAGAUAAUUGGUGGCUGCGACUGUUUACUAAAAACACAGCACUCUGCAAAGACGAAAGUCGACGUAUAGGGUGUGAUGCCUGCCCGGUGCUGGAAGAUUAAUUGAUGGGGUGAAAGCUCCUGAUCGAAGUCCCAGUAAACGGCGGCCGUAACUAUAACGGUCCUAAGGUAGCGAAAUUCCUUGUCGGGUAAGUUCCGACCUGCACGAAUGGCAUAACGAUGGCCACACUGUCUCCUCCCGAGACUCAGUGAAGUUGAAAUGUUUGUGAUGAUGCAAUCUACCCGCGGCUAGACGGAAAGACCCCAUGAACCUUUACUGCAGCUUUGCAUUGAACUGUGAACCGAUUUGUGUAGGAUAGGUGGGAGGCAGAGAAGAGGCCACGCCAGUGGUCUUGGAGCCGACCUUGAAAUACCACCCUGAUUUGUUUGCGGUUCUAACCACGGACAGUGAUCCUGUCUUGGGACCGUGCAUGGUAGGCAGUUUGACUGGGGCGGUCUCCUCCUAAAGGGUAACGGAGGAGUGCGAAGGUACGCUAGGUACGGUCGGAAAUCGUACUGAUAGUGCAAUGGCAAAAGCGUGCUUGACUGCGAGACCCACAAGUCGAGCAGAUACGAAAGUAGGUCAUAGUGAUCCGGUGGCUCUGUAUGGAAGGGCCAUCGCUCAACGGAUAAAAGGUACUCUGGGGAUAACAGGCUGAUACCGCCCAAGAGUUCAUAUCGACGGCGGUGUUUGGCACCUCGAUGUCGGCUCAUCUCAUCCUGGGGCUGUAGUCGGUCCCAAGGGUAUGGCUGUUCGCCAUUUAAAGAGGUACGUGAGCUGGGUUUAAAACGUCGUGAGACAGUUUGGUCCCUAUCUGCCGUGGGCGUUGGAAGAUUGACGGGGGCUGCUCCUAGUACGAGAGGACCGGAGUGGACGCACCUCUGGUGUACCGGUUGUCACGCCAGUGGCAUUGCCGGGUAGCUAAGUGCGGAAGAGAUAACCGCUGAAAGCAUCUAAGCGGGAAACUUGCCUGAAGAUGAGUCUUCCCGGAGGUUGAACCUCCCUCAAGAGUCGUCCGAGACCAGGACGUCGAUAGGUCAGGUGUGUAAGCGCUGUAAGGCGUUGAGCUAACUGAUACUAAUUGCUCGUGAGGCUUGAUC